UAGUCAUAUGCUUGUCUCAAAGAUUAAGCCAUGCAUGUCUAAGCACAAGCCGAUUAAUGGUGAAGCCGCGAAUGGCUCAUUACAACAGCCACUGUUUACUUGAUCUUGACUAUCCUACUUGGAUAACUGUGGUAAUUCUAGAGCUAAUACACGCAAAAAAGCUCCGACCUUACGGGACGAGCGCAUUUAUUAGACCAAAACCAAUCGGGCUUCGGCCUGAAACGUUGGUGACUCUGAAUAACUGAGCUGAUCGCAUGGUCUCGUACCGGCGACGUAUCAUUCAAGUGUCUGCCUUAUCAACUUUCGAUGGUAGUUUAUGUGCCUACCAUGGUUGUUACGGGUAACGGAGAAUAAGGGUUCGACUCCGGAGAGGGAGCCUGAGAAACGGCUACCACAUCCAAGGAAGGCAGCAGGCGCGCAAAUUACCCACUCUCGGCACGAGGAGGUAGUGACGAAAAAUAACGAGGCGGUUCUCUAUGAGGCCCGCUAUCGGAAUGAGUACAAUUUAGACCCUUUAACGAGGACUUAUGAGAGGACAAGUCUGGUGCCAGCAGCCAGUGUAGUCAUAUGCUUGUCUCAAAGCAAGUCUGGUGCCAGCAGCC
rnacentral:rRNA from 1 species